rnacentral:rRNA from 1 species
AUUGAACGCUGGCGGCAGGCUUAACACAUGCAAGUCGAGCGGAGAUGAGGUGCUUGCACCUUAUCUUAGCGGCGGACGGGUGAGUAAUGCUUAGGAAUCUGCCUAUUAGUGGGGGACAACAUUCCGAAAGGGAUGCUAAUACCGCAUACGUCCUACGGGAGAAAGCAGGGGAUCUUCGGACCUUGCGCUAAUAGAUGAGCCUAAGUCGGAUUAGCUAGUUGGUGGGGUAAAGGCCUACCAAGGCGACGAUCUGUAGCGGGUCUGAGAGGAUGAUCCGCCACACUGGGACUGAGACACGGCCCAGACUCCUACGGGAGGCAGCAGUGGGGAAUAUUGGACAAUGGGGGGAACCCUGAUCCAGCCAUGCCGCGUGUGUGAAGAAGGCCUUAUAGUUGUAAAGCACUUUAAGCGAGGAGGAGGCUACUGAGACUAAUACUCUUGGAUAGUGGACGUUACUCGCAGAAUAAGCACCGGCUAACUCUGUGCCAGCAGCCGCGGUAAUAC